rnacentral:rRNA from 1 species
UACAGAGGGGGCAAGCGUUGUUCGGAAUUACUGGGCGUAAAGGGCGCGUAGGCGGCCUGCUAAGUCGAACGUGAAAUCCCUGGGCUUAACCCAGGAACUGCGUCCGAUACUGGUUGGCUUGAAUCCGGGAGAGGGAUGUGGAAUUCCAGGUGUAGCGGUGAAAUGCGUAGAUAUCUGGAGGAACACCGGUGGCGAAGGCGGGUAGCUGGGCCAACACUGACGCUGAGACGCGAAAGCUAGGGGAGCAAACGGG